rnacentral:rRNA from 1 species
CUGGGUUUGACAUGGAUUUGACUGGGAUAGAGAUAUUCCUUCCCGCAAGGGCAGAUUCACAGGUGUUGCAUGGUCGUCGUCAGCUCGUGUUGUGAGAUGUUGGGUUAAGUCCCGCAACGAGCGCAACCCCUAUCUUCUGUUGCCAAUAUUAAGUUAGGCACUCUGAAGAAGCCGCCGGUGACAAACCGGAGGAAGGUGGGGGUGACGUCAGAUCAGCAUGGCCCUUAUAUCCAGGGCUACACACGUGCUACAAUGGCCGGUACAGAGGGACGCAAAGCCGCGAGGUGGAGCAAAUCCCACAAAGCCGGUCUCAGUUCAGAUUGCAGUCUGCAACUCGACUGCAUGAAGUCGGAAUCGCUAGUAAUCGCAAAUCAGCAUGUUGCGGUGAAUA